rnacentral:antisense_RNA from 1 species
CUUCAGGGACCCCAAGUGCAGCGGAGGGGCCUCGGCGCGCCCCUGCCCGUACGUCGCGAGUACCGCCUGCGCCUC